CCGGUAAUUUUUAAUUACUUGGGUUUCAAGCUAUUGAGUUCCAUUUUGAUAUUAAUUAAUAAUUUAUUUAAUUAUAAUUAUAAACUGUGGUUUAUAAUUCUGGAAUAUCAAUUGGGUCGGUUUAGACUUGGGUCGCCGACAUGUGGGUUUAGCCUGGUAGUUUUAAGAAACUCGGCUAACCCACUAUUUGAGGAAUUUAUUUAAUUAUUAUUUAAAUAAUAUUUUGAAGUGGUUUUUAAGGUGAGGACUCAAUAGACUUGAAUUAUUUACGGCAUUAUAAAUUAAUUUAGAAUUGUGUUUUUUUUUUCUGUGAUUUUAUCUGGCUUAUUUAGUUGUGCUAGUCCUACGUGGUGUCUAGAAUUCUUAGAGUUAGGGGUUGGAGUGAUUUUAACGUAUGAUUUAUUUUUAAACUCUUCGACUACUUGCACUCCAGAGUCGAAUCAGGGUUAGCUGUUUGCCGAAGUUUCACGUGGAUAAGCAAGCAGUUUAUGAUUUGAAAGCUGGUCCACUCCGAUUCUUUUGAUUCUUCGGAGGUUUUUAUGUUAUUAAACUAGUUUCUGUUUUCAAACUCUUAGACCGCAGUAGAACUAGUUUAUUUAUUACAUUUGAUAUUACACUUUGGGAUUGUCGAUAUAUUCGAUUAUUUAUAUUUGGCAUGAUUACUCUGGAUUACGAUAUUAUUAUAUAUAAGGCAUGCUGUUGAGCA